rnacentral:rRNA from 1 species
UCAAAUGUAUGUUGACGUAUUCUGAAAGGGAUACUUCUUCGGACAAUAUACAAGGUGCUGCAUGGUUGUCGUCAGCUCGUGCCGUGAGGUGUCGGGUUAAGUCCCAUAACGAGCGCAACCCUAUCAUUAGUUGCCAUCAGGUCAAGCUGGGGACUCUAAUGAAACUGCCUACGCAAGUAGUGAGGAAGGUGGGGAUGACGUCAAAUCAGCACGGCCCUUACGUCCAGGGCUACACACGUGCUACAAUGGCCGGUACAAAGGGCAGCUACCUGGUGACAGGAUGCUAAUCUCAAAAGCCGGUCUCAGUUCGGAUCGGAGUCUGCAACCCGACUCCGUGAAGCUGGAAUCGCUAGUAAUCGUGGAUCAGCAUGCCACGGUGAAUACGUUCCCGGGCCUU